AAUCAUUUUCUUCCAAAUAUCAUAGGUUUCCAAUUUCAGUCAAUCAUUUCAGCCCGUGAUCAAUUGAUCAAAGCUUUUUGGGUUUACCGUCGCUCCCCCGCUCCCGUCUUCUACAAAGGCCUGAUCGGAAUCUCGACUUUUCAUCUUUUCUGAUUUCACCGUUUGUUUGGUAUGUUCCUUUUCUAUGAUUUGGAAUGUUUUCUUUUUUUUUUUUCCUUUGUUUGGUUUCUCUUUAAUCCACCGACUAGAACUUAAAGGCAUUCUACAUCUUCGGUUUUUCGAUACAAACAUAUGUUGACGGUGAUGGUAUGGUCGGCCCAGUGACGAAUGACUUCAUUGCAUAUCUGAAAUUUCAGUUAUGUCUUCCACUUUUCUUACUCAGAUUUGCUUAAAUUGAUGGAAAAAAGACAUAAAAUGAACUUUUGUUAAGGUGAAUGGAAUUCGCACUUGAGUUUGUCGGACAACAGAUGCGGCUAUGUUGCUGGUGUACACGUUCAGAAGAUGGGACAUACAAGUAAAUUUAGUUAGUUUUCUGCAUAAUGGAUUUAGAAAAGCAUUGGAAUGGUUCGUUCCACCAUAGUUUAUAAUGAAUGUAUAUUAUAUAUCUUAAAUUAAUAUUUCUUCUUAUUCA